rnacentral:rRNA from 1 species
CCUACGGAGGGCUGCAGUGGGGAAUAUUGGGCAAUGGGAGGAAUCCUGAUCCAGCGACGCCGCGUGAACGAAGACGGCCUUCGGGUUGUAAAGUUCUUUUAUGUGGGAAGAAGGAAGUGACGGUACCACAUGAAUAAGCCCCGGCUAACUACGUGCCAGCAGCCGCGGUAAUACGUAGGGGGCGAGCGUUGUCCGGAAUUACUGGGCGUAAAGGGCACGCAGGCUGUGCUUCAAGUCAGCUGUAAAAGGAUGCGGCUUAACCGUGUUAUGCAGUUGAGACUGAGGUGCUGGAGUACCGGAGAGGCAAGUGGAAUUCCCAGUGUAGCGGUGAAAUGCGUAGAUAUUGGGAAGAACAUCGGUGGCGAAGGCGACUUGCUGGACGGUAACUGACGCUGAGGUGCGAAAGCCAGGGUAGCGAACGGGAUUAGAUACCCUAGUAGUC